rnacentral:rRNA from 1 species
GGUUAAGUGAAUAAGGGCGCACGGUGGAUGCCUUGGCACUAGGAGCCGAUGAAGGACGGGACUAACACCGAUAUGCUUUGGGGAGCUGUAAGUAAGCUAUGAUCCAGAGAUUUCCGAAUGGGGGAACCCAAUAUCUUUUAUAGGAUAUUACUUUUCAGUGAAUACAUAGCUGAUUAGAGGUAGACGCAGAGAACUGAAACAUCUUAGUACCUGCAGGAAGAGAAAGAAAAUUCGAUUCCCUGAGUAGCGGCGAGCGAAACGGGAAGAGCCCAAACCAACAAGCUUGCUUGUUGGGGUUGUAGGACUCCAAUAUGGUAGUCUGUUAGUAUAGUUGAAGGAUUUGGAAAAUUCCGCUAAAGAGGGUGAAAGCCCCGUAGACGAAAUGCUGACAACACCUAGGAGGAUCCUGAGUACGGCGGAACACGAGAAAUUCCGUCGGAAUCCGCGGGGACCAUCCCGCAAGGCUAAAUACUCCCUAGUGACCGAUAGUGAACCAGUACCGUGAGGGAAAGGUGAAAAGCACCCCGGAAGGGGAGUGAAAUAGAUCCUGAAACCGUGUGCCUACAACAAGUCAAAGCUCGUUAAUGAGUGAUGGCGUGCCUUUUGUAGAAUGAACCGGCGAGUUACGAUUGCAUGCGAGGUUAAGUCGAAGAGACGGAGCCGCAGCGAAAGCGAGUCUGAAUAGGGCGAAUGAGUAUGUAGUCGUAGACCCGAAACCAUGUGAUCUACCCAUGUCCAGGUUGAAGGUGCGGUAAAACGCACUGGAGGACCGAACCCACGUACGUUGAAAAGUGCGGGGAUGAGGUGUGGGUAGCGGAGAAAUUCCAAACGAACUUGGAGAUAGCUGGUUCUCUCCGAAAUAGCUUUAGGGCUAGCCUCGGAAUUGAGAAUGAUGGAGGUAUCCGUAGUCGAAAGGGAAACAGCCCAGACCACCAGCUAAGGUCCCAAAAUAUAUGUUAAGUGGAAAAGGAUGUGGGGUUGCACAGACAACUAGGAUGUUGGCUUAGAAGCAGCCACCAUUUAAAGAGUGCGUAAUAGCUCACUAGUCGAGUGACCCUGCGCCGAAAAUGUACCGGGGCUAAACAUAUUACCGAAGCUGUGGACUACACCAUUAAGGUGUAGUGGUAGGAGAGCGUUCUAAGGGCGUUGAAGGUCGAUCGUGAGGACGGCUGGAGCGCUUAGAAGUGAGAAUGCCGGUAUGAGUAGCGAAAGACAGGUGAGAAUCCUGUCCACCGUAUGACUAAGGUUUCCUGGGGAAGGCUCGUCCGCCCAGGGUUAGUCGGGACCUAAGCCGAGGCCGAUAGGCGUAGGCGAUGGACAACAGGUUGAUAUUCCUGUACCAGUUGUUUUUGUUUGAGCAAUGGAGGGACGCAGUAGGCUAAGGAAUGCAUGCGAUUGGAAGUGCAUGUCCAAGCAAUGAGUCUUGAGUAGAGUUAAAUGCUUUACUCUUUAAGGACAAGUUGUGACGGGGAGCGAAAUAAUAGUAGCGAAGUUCCUGAUGUCACACUGCCAAGAAAAGCUUCUAGUGAGAAAACAACUGCCCGUACCGUAAACCGACACAGGUAGUCGAGGAGAGUAUCCUAAGGUGAGCGAGCGAACUCUCGUUAAGGAACUCGGCAAAAUGACCCCGUAACUUCGGGAGAAGGGGUGCUGACUUCGGUCAGCCGCAGUGAAUAGGCCCAAGCGACUGUUUAUCAAAAACACAGGUCUCUGCAAAAUCGUAAGAUGAAGUAUAGGGGCUGACGCCUGCCCGGUGCUGGAAGGUUAAGAGGAUGGGUUAGCUUCGGCGAAGCUCAGAAUUGAAGCCCCAGUAAACGGCGGCCGUAACUAUAACGGUCCUAAGGUAGCGAAAUUCCUUGUCGGGUAAGUUCCGACCCGCACGAAAGGCGUAACGAUUUGG